UGGGACUAUUCUGGGUGUAACCUGAGAUUUCUCACUGCCUCGUGUACGUCUGAGUCAAUUUGCCUUGAUGCCAAGACUCUUCAACCAAAAGGAACACGAUCUGAUUUCAAACCGAAGUAAACGCCCAAAACAGGACUUGCCAUUUGAACGUCAAGGUUGAGUGCUUGGGUGACAGAGUGGGGAUUUCUGGCAGCUGGCUCGACUCCGGGAUCAAGCUCUUUUGGUCUGACUAACCCAUCCUCCAGGAACACAGCAGCUCAACUCUGCUUCUGCCUGGAACCAUCUGUCCUGUUCCAGAUCAUCCUGUUGAAAUGACAGGUAAUGUACAAACUGCAAAUCUCAGGUCUUCCAUGGAGCCUACAUAAAUGAGCAAUUUUGAGGUUCUUUUUAAUGAAAAAAAAAGCCUCAAAUUUAAUGUCUUAAAUCAUUAACACCUAAAUCUACUAUAUGUCAAACAACACUACAGUAAAAUUCCAUGUAGGCAGGGUGAGACGCAAGGAUGUAACAGCACAUCUCUUAAGAGACGAGUCCUGUUUUCUUCACUGACUUGAGAAGCUCCCCAAACAGCAUCAACUUUCUUAAGCCAUGAGUCUUAAUGAAGCAAACGGGUAUUGUAGGUCUGUCUUAUCUAUUUCUUUUCUCUCCCACUGCCAACCCCACCCUCCUUCAAAACCAAAACACGGUGGAGCUCCAGUUCAGUGGGGCACUUGUAGUGCCUGCUGUCAGUGGAGGUAAGAAAAAAGGUGCUUGUCUUCUUUCAAAACUGGACUGACUCCACUUAAGAGUCAGAUACAGUCCCUUAUACAAAACAAGUAAGGCUGAUAAGUAAGAAUUGUUGAAACAAAUAACACAGCUCCCUGCGUUAGAAAUCUCCCCUCUCAGUGGUGUGCCCGUCUGCAAAGCUGUACCCAAGGCCCCGUGUCACACAGCCCGCAGGACAGCCGAGUCCCCCGGAGGCACUGCCCAGAGCUGGCGCUGGGAGAGCGCGGGCUCCCCAAGGCCCCGGACAGCCAGGGCGCCGGGUGGAGGGAGGGUCCUCCCGGCUUCUGCUGGGCGCCCAGGCUGGCUGUUCACAUGCUCCCCAGGCUCGCUCCAAGAGACCUUGAGGGCACAGCUGAGAAACACUUCGUGGAACACGAAGAAUUAAUGGGUCAUGAAAACAUGUGCUUAUCUAAAAUUUUUUUAGAAGAUUCACACUUUCCUGAGUAAGUACACACAUCUCAUGUGAGGUCUUUUGAAAGCACCAGGCCAGUACCUCUUAGACCCCCUGUACCCAGGCGGCAAAUCUGAGCCAAGCUCAGAUGUUCUGGGGAUGUUAACAAUGUGCACGUAUCAUUUUUCUAAUACUCUUAUCACUUGAGAGUUUCACACUUGCAAAGUAGGAAAAGGCUUCUUGGACAGCAUGGGCGAAGAAUAAAGGUGCUUGUGUGGGCUGCUUUGGUCAGAGUGGAGCUGAGGACGCUGGGGAACCCGGCCCGUGCCAGGGUCUCUGUGUCCUUGGCACUGGCUCAGACAUCAAAUCCUUCAAACGUAAAAACCACAGCCCCUUAAAAGGUCCAGAUCAAACGUGGCCAUGAGCCUGGGGACCCCGAAAUCAAGUUAACGUUGCUGAUCUUACCGCUGAGAACAAGUCACGUGGCCACAGCCCAUCAGGUGGAAUGUUUACCCCUGAUGUCCUGGCCCGAGACGGCACCUUCCCCGGUGAGGUCCUGGGAGUGCCUGAACGUGAGGAUGGAGUUAUAGAUCUUCAGAGCGGGACCCAGCUUGAUCUUCAUCACCUGGACGAUGUCUGCCUGCGUCAGGAGCAGGAAGGCUUUGCCAUCAAUCUGCUGCAGGUAAAGAAGUAAGUACAAAUGAAAAUACCCUGCUGCUCAGAUCUGCCUGCCUCCAGGUGCCCCCAGGUGCUGAGCUGUGUGGCCGGGACGGGACCCUUGACGGCCUCCGGGGCUCAGGGACCACGGGUAACGGCGGCAUCUUAGGACCUGCAAGGGGACCGUGGACAGGCACUUGGCGUGCUCUUCGCAGCCCAGGAGAGACCGCACAAACUCCACCACCUGCAGCGCAAGAUGAAAAGCCUGAUUUAAAACACCCACCUGAAAUAACACCUUGGGCUGCAGUCAUUCAGCGUGUGUCAGGACGCCGACGACUGUCCCCACUUGUGCGGAGGCUUGGCGUCCAGAACCUUCUGUCAGAUCGUCCUAUCCACCCUGUGGCGUCAGUUGUGACAGUGAAAAAUGAGUUGGAUGUCGCCUGCACCGUGGUCCCCGCAGAGAUGGCCUCACGGAGCCAACUCCACGUGGGAGGAAGCUGCUGUCCUUCAUCCUUUGCCUCCGCCCAGGACGCCCAGCACACCU